rnacentral:rRNA from 1 species
UAACUUGAGAGUUUGAUCAUGGCUCAGAACGUACGCUGGCGGCACGCCUAACACAUGCAAGUCGAACGAAGUAGCAAUACUUAGUGGCAGACGGGUGAGUAACAUGUGGGUAUCUACCCUUUGGCCUGGAAUAACACGAGGAAACUUGUGCUAAUACCGGAUAAGUCUUUACGGAGAAAGCUUUAUGCACCAUUGGAUGAGCCCGCACUUGAUUAGUUUGUUGGUAGGGUAAUGGCCUACCAAGACUAUGAUCAAUAGCUGAUUUGAGAGGAUGAUCAGCCACAUUGGGACUGAGACACGGCCCAAACUCCUACGGGAGGCAGCAGUGGGGAAUCUUGCACAAUGGAGGAAACUCUGAUGCAGCGAUGCCGCGUGAGUGAAGAAGGCCUUUGGGUUGUAAAGCUCUUUCGUCGGGGAAGAAAAUGACUGUACCCGAAUAAGAAGGUCCGGCUAACUUCGUGCCAGCAGCCGCGGUAAUACGAAGGGACCUAGCGUAGUUCGGAAUUACUGGGCUUAAAGAGUUCGUAGGUGGUUGAAAAAGUUGGUGGUGAAAUUCGUAGAUAUUAGAAAGAAUACCAAUUGCGAAGGCAGCUUUCUGGAUCAUUACUGACACUGAGGAACGAAAGCAUGGGUAGCGAAGAGGAUUAGAUACCCUCGUAGUCCAUGCCGUAAACGAUGUGUGUUAGACGUUGGAAAUUUAUUUUCAGUGUCGCAGGGAAACCGAUAAACACACCGCCUGGGGAGUACGACCGCAAGGUUAAAACUCAAAUGAAUUGACGGGGACCCGCACAAGUAGUGGAGCAUGUGGUUUAAUUCGAAGAUACGCGCAGAACCUUACCAACACUUGACAUGUUCGUCGCGACUCUAAGAGAUUAGAGUUUUCGGUUCGGCCGGACGAAACACAGGUGCUGCAUGGCUGUCGUCAGCUCGUGUCGUGAGAUGUUGGGUUAAGUCCCGCAACGAGCGCAACCCUCACUUUUAGUUGCCAUCAUUAAGUUGGGCACUCUGAAAGAACUGCCAGUGAUAAGCUGGAGGAAGGUGGGGAUGACGUCAAGUCCUCAUGGCCCUUACGUGUUGGGCUACACACGUGCUACAAUGGCAUCUACAACAGGAAGCAAAACGGCAACGUUAAGCAAAUCCCGAAAAGAUGCCUCAGUUCGGAUUGCACUCUGCAACUCGAGUGCAUGAAGCUGGAAUUACUAGUAAUCGUGGAUCAGCGUGCCACGGUGAAUGCGUUCCCGGGUCUUGUACACACCGCCCGUCACACCAUGGGAGUUGGUUCUACCUUAAGGCAAGGCUUUAAACCCUUGACCACGGUAUAGUCAGCGACUGGGGUGAAGUCGUAACAAGGUAGCCGUAGGGGAACCUGCGGCUGGAUUACCUCCUUU